GGAGGUAUAGCUUAGUGGUAGAGCACGUGCUUGGAGUGCACAAGGUCCUUGGUUCAAUCCUCAGCGCCUCCA
rnacentral:tRNA from 1 species